UGAAAGCAAAAGUUUCCUGAAACUUCGUGUU
rnacentral:piRNA from 1 species